GUCUAAGUAGGUUUGUGGUUAGUGCACAGCCCCGGAAAGAUUGAGACGCGGGUUCGAUUCCCGCCUGAGAUG
rnacentral:tRNA from 1 species